CCUUCUUCCUCCGCCCAGCCGCCACAGUAACCGUUGUCAAGUCUGCCACAGGAGGAUAUUUUUGAGAUUAACCUGCUUUCUUCCUCGCAGGUCGAUUAUUAACGUUUGUAUAAACUUGUUAAAUCUUAGAAUUUCCGCAUGUGUUAGAAAUGUUUAUUUGAUAUGGGUCUGUAAACUAAAUUAUUAUUUUGGACCUGUAAACUUAAUAUUCUAUGCA